GAGAGGAACUCCUGCGCUGAGACCCGGGACCACCCCCGAGGCUGUCCACAAGAAGUACGCUCAGGAACACAACAGUAGACAGAGGAAGAGAAGACUUGGGGAGACGGUGAUGUGGAGACAGAGAAGGCACGGGGGAGAUGGUGAUGUGGAGACAGAGAAGACACGGGGAGACGGUGAUGUGGAAACCGAGGUUGGAAUGAAGCAGCCACAAGCCUGGGGCACCAGGAGGCACGGAAGCUGAAAGAGGCAAAGAAGGAUCCUUUUCUGGAGCUUCCAGUGGAAGCAGGGCUCUGCCAAUGUCUUGAUUUCACACUCUAGCUUCCAGAAUUGUGAGGAAAUAAACUCAUGUUGUUUUGA